rnacentral:tRNA from 1 species
UAGCUCAGUUGGUAGAGCAGUUGGCUUUUAACCAAUUGGUCACAGGUUCGAAUCC